CACGAGUCUUUCUACCGACUCUAACUCUCCCUUUCAUGUUUGACUCAUCCAUUUCAGAAAUUUCAGUUUUGGUUUUACUUUUGUAAUUCACUCUACAGUACAGGUAUUUGAACAAGUUUCAGUACAGGUAUUUUUCACAGACAGAUACUGUAGUGUAAGUUACAGUUUGGACAUUACAGUAAGUGAAAGUUGGAGUUUUUGCAAGGGGUAAACAAUACAGUACACUACUGUACAAGUCUACUGUAGAAGCGUUUCUGUUCUUUGUGCAUGAUGAAUGAUGAAUGCAUCACAAAGUAAAAGGAGAUGUCUUUCCAUUAAGGAGAAAAUACAAAUAAUUGAAGAGAUGUAUCAAUGUCCUAGUGAAAUUAAAGUGAGCAUUGCAAAGCAUCUCAAAAUCCCAUACUCCACCUUAACUACCAAAUUGGCCCAGGAAUCGAAGAUAAGAUCUAGUGCUUCAAAAGCUGGGCCAAGUAGUGAGAAGCAUAUGUGU
rnacentral:lncRNA from 1 species